rnacentral:rRNA from 1 species
UACGUAGGGUGCGAGCGUUGUCCGGAAUUAUUGGGCGUAAAGCGCGUGUAGGCGGCUUUGCAAGUCGGGUGUGAAAGCCCUCGGCUCAACCGAGGAAGUGCGCCCGAAACUGCAGAGCUUGAGUACCGGAGAGGAUGGCGGAAUUCCCCAAGUAGAGGUGAAAUUCGUAGAUAUUCGGAAGAACACCAGUGGCGAAGGCGGCUCACUGGCCCGGUACUGACGCUGAAAUACGAAAGCGUGGGGAGCAAACAGG